rnacentral:rRNA from 1 species
UACAGAGGGUGCAAGCGUUGUUCGGAAUUAUUGGGCGUAAAGGGCGCGUAGGCGGUGCGGUAAGUCUGUAGUGAAAUCUCUGGGCUCAACUCAGAGUCUGCUGCAGAAACUGCCGUGCUUGAGUGUGGGAGAGGUGAGUGGAAUUCCCGGUGUAGCGGUGAAAUGCGCAGAUAUCGGGAAGAACACCCGUGGCGAAGGCGGCUCUCUGGAACGCAACUGACGCUGAGACGCGAAAGCGUGGGGAGCAAACAGG